rnacentral:rRNA from 1 species
UACACUCCUGCGGGAGGCAGCAGUGGGGAAUAUUGCACAAUGGGCGCAAGCCUGAUGCAGCGACGCCGCGUGGGGGAUGAAGGCCUUCGGGUUGUAAACUCCUUUCGCUAGGGACGAAGCUUUUUUGUGACGGUACCUAGAUAAGAAGCACCGGCUAACUACGUGCCAGCAGCCGCGGUAAUACGUAGGGUGCGAGCGUUGUCCGGAAUUACUGGGCGUAAAGGGCUCGUAGGUGGUUUGUCGCGUCGUCUGUGAAAUUCUGGGGCUUAACUCCGGGCGUGCAGGCGAUACGGGCAUAACUUGAGUGCUGUAGGGGUAACUGGAAUUCCUGGUGUAGCGGUGAAAUGCGCAGAUAUCAGGAGGAACACCGAUGGCGAAGGCAGGUUACUGGGCAGUUACUGACGCUGAGGAGCGAAAGCAUGGGUAGCGAACAGGAUUAGAAACCCCAUUAGUCCCAUG